rnacentral:misc_RNA from 1 species
GAAAAAACAAACACCAGAGAAAAAUACUAAACAUUAAGUUUUUACCAAAACCAAUAUCUACUACUAAUACACGCUACAACCAGCAAUCAGUUUAUAAUUAUUCCCUCACAAACAAUUCACACUGAAUUUCAUCAAUCAGGGUAUUAUCUUUUUGAACUCAAAGACAUUAUGUGCUACAAAAAUAAGUUUAUAAUUAUAAGAAAAGAAAA